rnacentral:rRNA from 1 species
GCAUGUUCACAUGAUUAAAGGUAUUCCGGUAGACGAUGGGGAUGCGUUCCAUUAGAUAGUAGGCGGGGUAACGGCCCACCUAGUCUUCGAUGGAUAGGGGUUCUGAGAGGAAGGUCCCCCACAUUGGAACUGAGACACGGUCCAAACUCCUACGGGAGGCAGCAGUGAGGAAUAUUGGUCAAUGGGCGAGAGCCUGAACCAGCCAAGUAGCGUGAAGGAUGACCGCCCUAUGGGUUGUAAACUUCUUUUAUAAAGGAAUAAAGUCGGGUAUGCAUACCCGUUUGCAUGUACUUUAUGAAUAAGGAUCGGCUAACUCCGUGCCAGCAGCCGCGGUAAUACGGAGGAUCCGAGCGUUAUCCGGAUUUAUUGGGUUUAAAGGGAGCGUAGAUGGAUGUUUAAGUCAGUUGUGAAAGUUUGCGGCUCAACCGUAAAAUUGCAGUUGAUACUGGAUAUCUUGAGUGCAGUUGAGGCAGGCGGAAUUCGUGGUGUAGCGGUGAAAUGCUUAGAUAUCACGAAGAACUCCGAUUGCGAAGGCAGCCUGCUAAGCUGCAACUGACAUUGAGGCUCGAAAGUGUGGGUAUCAAACAGGAUUAGAUACCCUGGUAGUCCACACGGUAAACGAUGAAUACUCGCUGUUUGCGAUAUACGGCAAGCGGCC